UACGAAGGGGGCUAGCGUUGCUCGGAAUCACUGGGCGUAAAGGGUGCGUAGGCGGGUCUUUAAGUCAGGGGUGAAAUCCUGGAGCUCAACUCCAGAACUGCCUUUGAUACUGAAGAUCUUGAGUUCGGGAGAGGUGAGUGGAACUGCGAGUGUAGAGGUGAAAUUCGUAGAUAUUAGGAAGGACACCAGUGGCGAAGGCGGCUCACUGGCCCGGUACUGACGCUGAGGCGCGAAAGCGUGGGGAGCAAACAGG
rnacentral:rRNA from 1 species